UCGUCUUUUGCCUAGCUCGAUCAGCCGUCUUCUCGGGCUGAUCUUGAGCCGGAUGCUCGUGCUUGCACUUGCAUAAGACAAGAAGAAUCUCCAGGCAAUGCUUUUUGAGUACGGAACCUUUAGUGUCUUUUCACAAAUGAAGUCUUUCGUAAUUUAUCUGUUGUCACAUCC
rnacentral:snoRNA from 1 species